rnacentral:lncRNA from 1 species
AAACAGACUCACAAUAACGCUUCUAUGAGUGAUUGUCUCUGCUCACUUGUAUCUGCCGUUUCCCUGCAAAGAGAGAGAACACAAAGAGCAGCUACUGCUUAAGCGUGAAUGCAAUCCACUCUGGAAAAUGUUGAACAAAUAGAUGUUGAAUUAAUUUGUCACAAAAAUUACAAAUUCAAAACACUUACGACCUCUAAUAGGCAGAUGUAAAAAGGAAAAACUUACAUCUGGGAUCUUUUCAGCAGAGAAAUAAAUAUUUAAGAUGCAACAGGUGUACAAACAGGAUCCAUUAUUGACAGAGCAGCUGAAGGCUUUGACUGUAACGCUACCAGAACAGCCUCACAAGUAGGAUACUUUAUCACACAGGUUAAGCAGCCGAUAACAGAAAACAGAGUACUGUGAACUAUUGUAGUAGCUUCAAUAUGUAUGCACUGUGUUUUAGUAAAACACACAUUUCAUGCCACCGUGCUCUUUUAUUGCAAUUCUUUUUAAUAUGUUGUAAUGUUUAAAAAAACUUAGAUUAGACAGCUAUGGUUUCAACAUUAAUAUUAAACCUGGAAUUCAUAAUAUAAGCUUUAAAAACAAAUCUGAUGGACCAAAACAAACUUUGUGAUUUGUAUGUCUUUUUAUAUUGAUGACUUAUUGCAGUUGCUCUACAAAGCAAACUUCUAUGUAAACUUUCCCACAGUUUAAGACUGUCAGAUGUUUUUUGGUUUUUUUACAUGAAAAAUAGAUAAAAUUCUGAUUUGAAUAGUUUUUCUUACUCAUUAAUUUACAUUGGACCCUCAAGAUUUAUAUCAUGACUAACCGGAGGUGUCUAAAAACUGGACCACAUUAUCUAGUGGGAUUAUAAACUGAGGAAAGCCACAUGAAAGUCACUUUAAUUUGACAGGCGAUGAUAUAUGCAAUGUUGUUUCAUUAUUACAGUCAUAAUAUUUUUAUUUUAUUUCAGCUGAUAUCUUGAAGAAAAAUGAACACUAUGAUUUAUGUAUAAUCAUAAUGCAGGACUUGUAUUUUCAACAUUAUUUUCAACAUUUUUGUGGGUAUUUGACUAAAUAAUUUAAAUAGCUGUCAAGAUUAUAAUCAGGAAAAAAUAGAUAAAAUUCAUAGAGCAAAACCCACUGAGUAUUAAAGUCUCUAUGAGGACUUUUCACGGUGUUUUGAUACUAGUGACCCUUUUGGACAAAGUCUGAAGUGUUAUCCUAGGGAAGAAAACUUUCCCAUGAGCACCAUAAACAACUGGUAUAAAUACUGAAUGUGGCUCUUAGUUCAAGACUUUUUUUUUUUUGCAGGAUGCAGUGAUGAGAUAAUGUUUGAACUUGUAGCUGCGUAAAAUAUUAACUGCAUGAGAACGACAAAACUUUGCAAAUUCUGAUUUAUUCACCACUAUUUAUGACACUCUUUUAGAAUCAGUGAGAAGCGAAUCCUCACAGCGCCUCAAAACUUGUUUUUGUAGUGAAGCACUCAUAUCUGCUUAUCAACGGUGGCAGAUCUGAAUCACACAGGACCGUGUCUCAGUAAUCUGCCCUGGCACACUUUACAUGAUUAUAUAAGAUCAUAAAAAAAAUUAAAAGGUGUACUCAUGUAACUGACAGACAUAUCUAAUGUUAAAAAGUUCUAUCCUCCGAGCUGUAAAUAAGCAUUAGUGGCACAAUUAUAAAUCUGUGGUCUAAUCUUUUAAAAGUCCCAGGGUAAUGUUGGAAAUGGCCACAGGAGAGGAGGAGAGGGGGAUGGAAGAGGGACAAAUGGAGGAAGGGGAGGAGAGAAACUCAAUCUAAAGCACCAGGUGCACCUUUUGUCGACAUAAUCUCCCAACCCUUGAGACCGCGUGCACACCGGCCAACAUAUACAGCCUCUCCUACGUACACAUGCUGAUUUUUUCCACCGAGGGGAUUUGGGUCCUGGGUUGGCUCUGCUCAUAUGUAAAAGAGGACGCUCAGGUCACUGCGCUGGAAGAACAGAGUCUGGUUUAUUUAGAUGUGACUACGCUUACGUAAUAAUCGACAGGAGCAAAACCUUUAACUUUGCAUGUAGUGAUGACAUGGGUUUAUCACAACAAGUCAGCAUGGUGGAGAAAAUUGCAGUCUAGGGCAGAUUAAGAGGAAUCAGGAGGAAGAAAAAGAGAGUGUUCAUGUCCUCAGGGGAGAGCGGUGUCACAUGUUAAACCCACAAGUGAAUUUAGAGCACAUGUUCUCCUCGGACACAAGUGCUUUCAUGUGUUUGGCAGGUUUUACGUUUCAUUCUGAUCUAAAGUGUUUCUGCUUACGAACAGAACAGGGACACUAACAAGGAAGUUCUCAGGUAUUUGUGUUUUUUUUAUGAAUUAAUCUGCCAUAGUUCAUAUUUUGGUGAGUUUUAAGGCAGUUUCAUCACCAUAGCCACAACCAACCCCACCUCAUAUAACAUGGUAGUAUUCAUUUAUCACCAUGUUGCCCCUUGGCAUCUUUAUGUUUUCUUUCUGUUUCUGUCAGCUAUUUUUUUUUUAGUUCUCUUGCGCAGAAAGAAAAGAUUAAAAUUUUGUUAAAGGUGUUUCCACACAGAGAGAGAUGAAGUUUAAGUUCUUAAACAAAAGUUUAAGCAGAGUGGUAAUCACUGAACAAGAUCCUGGUGUGUGUGUUUGUGUGAAUUUUUAAGUGAACAAGACCUUGACUGGCACUCAUUGUGAACCCCCAGAUUCAUACUGAUGCCUGUCAAUCAGCUGACAACAUUGUACCAAGAGGACCCGGGAGAAAAAAACAACUCGGUUUUAAGAAAAGAAGCAGUUGUCGUGCAUCUAAGAGCCUGAAAUGUUGAAAACCCUGGAAUGCACAAAAACACACCCUUGAAUAACAUUACCAGCCGUGUUAAUCAAUGGCUCUUAGCACAGUGGAUUUAAGCAGGCCGGGCGCCCCUUGUCCACAAUCCCUCACCCGUCAUCCUUUAAGCUCGACCCCUAAACUCCUGCAAAGCCUCGAGUGGGGACGAAGCCAAGGACGGAGCAGGCUCCUCAUUGUGAUUUAAUCUCUCCCUGCUGCCAGAACAAACAUCAAAUAUGGCCUCCUUAUCAGACUGGCUCUGCUCUAUCUAUCUAUCACCAAUCAAUAUCUUCUUUUCUGUGUGCGCUGGUUUCUUCUGUAUGUGAGUGUUUGUCUGAAACAGGUCUCAAGGGCUGCGCUAAGUAAGGUCAAAGAUCAGGUAUAAACCUCCACCGUGGAAUGACAGAUGUGGCCGGAGGAAAACAAGAUAAAAGUAAGGGAGGGGGGAAAGAAAGAAAGAAAGAAAGAAAGAAGGAAAUAAAGACAGAAAGGAGAGAACGAUGUAAACAUAUGAGCGUGUCCAAAACAAAAGAUCAUCGAAGUUUCAUUAUGGUUGCUCAUGUUGUUUUUGUGGCAGGUAUGGCUUCACCUCAGGCCGCACAUAAGCUAACAUGACUGUAGCUUAUGGUGGCUGAAAACCGCCACUGCUGCAAACAAAAAAGAAUGCAAAAAGAGGAACCAACAACGGAAGUUACCAAUGCAAAAAGAAAGAAAAGAGACCGAAGCCUCAGAUUUAAAAGAAAAAAAAAAAAAAACGUACUUACUGGGAAAAUAAAAAGAUAAUUAAAAAAGCCACAAUGUAAGUGAGUUGCCGGGGACCAAUAUUAAUGAUGCAACAGUGUUUUACGAUCUUGGCACCGAAGUCAACGACGAGAAGACAAGCAAAGAAGCAGAAAGCUUUGUUUGUGUGUCCCAAACCGCAUACUUCCAUACUAAAUACUUCGUACUAUGUACUCAAUCACGCAGUGCGUGAGUUUUGAGGGUGCAGUGCUGUCCCAAAUU